rnacentral:rRNA from 1 species
CAGAGGUGGCAAGCGUUGUUCGGAAUUACUGGGCGUAAAGGGCGCGUAGGCGGCCUUGUCAGUCAGACGUGAAAUCCCCAGGCUUAACCUGGGAACUGCGUCUGAUACUACAAGGCUGGAGUUCGGGAGAGGAAUGUGGAAUUCCAGGUGUAGCGGUGAAAUGCGUAGAUAUCUGGAGGAACACCGGUGGCGAAGGCGGCAUUCUGGACCGAAACUGACGCUGAGGCGCGAAAGCCAGGGGAGCAAACGGGAUUAGAUACCCCGGUAGUCCUGGCCCUAAACGAUGAGUGCUUGGUGUGGCGGGUAUCGAUCCCUGCCGUGCCGAAGCUAACGCAUUAAGCACUCCGCCUGGGGAGUACGGUCGCAAGGCUG